GAUCCUGCCUAUCAUGCAGUCUUAGAAAUACCUGCAUUGGUACAAGAUGGAAGAUAGGUAAGAGGGCAGUGUAAAACCCCUUCACCCUUCAGCUGUUGCUUUCAGGAAUCCAGCUCCCUGCCCUGAUCUGUUCCAGCUGCGUCAUCUUGGCUCCGGCUGCUGAGGAAAUUGCUAAAUUUUGAGGAACAGCUGUGAGAAGGCCUGUAAAACAGAGCCAUGUGAGGUGAAGAAGCAAAAUUAUAGGCUGAGGGAGCAAUGGAAUGGCACAAAUUACAAGGGGAAGAAAGAUACAUUUUCAGGGCGAGUCAGCAAGGAGAACAGGCUGAGAGGACAAGAGCCAACGACAAGGAGAAAGAAAAUAAUUUUGUCAGGGCAAAGCAAAUGCAGACAAAAUGCUCCAAGAGUGCAGAAGAGUAGACUUCUGACAAAAAGAGAAAUGGCACAGAAGG